UAGAAUAUUCACCCUGAUAGUGAACCAAAAUGUGCUUCUCUGAAAACCAUAUUUUUUAUUUAUAUAUAUAAAAUCCCCCUCUCUGGGGACUACAUAAAAAAAUCCUUCCACACAUCAACGCUUACGGAAGAAGGAAGGAAGGAGUGGGGGGGGAUGGAAUUAAACAUUUAUAGAGCACUUACUAAGUGUCAAGCUUUAUGGUUUCUAAAUGUUAUCUUACUUAAUCCUCCCAACCCUCUGAAGUAGUUAUUGUUUAUGGAUGCAGAAAUAAUCCCCAGCAACCCUCAGUUAUGAUUCUGGCUCUGCCUUUUGUUACUGAGUGCCCCUACUGUCUCUGGCCUCUAGUCUUUUCAGUUGACUGCUCUACUGCCCGCAGGGUUUGAAGACAGCAAUUACAUCUCUUCCAAGUCUCUUCUUCCUCAUUUCCAGGCUAAAAUAUCUCCAAUUACUUUCGAUGCCUCUCAUGGUGCACUAGUGAAGACUGGCUCUGGAAUCAGGACAACCAGGAUCCAACGACAUUACAUCACCUGUGCACAAGUGACUUAACCUUCUGAAUGUUGGUGUUCUAUCUGUGUGACAUGGGACACUUAUGAUACCAUCCCAUUGAGUUGUUAUAAGCAGCUUAAAUAAUAUAAUAAAUGGAGCAUCGCAAUCUGCCCUGCCAGCCCAGAUCCUGCCUCUUGAAAAGAAGUAAGGGACCAGAGCAUGUGAACAGGACCAGGGUCACACCACUUCCAGGAACCCAUGCAAGCUGUGCUGAGAAAUCACAACUCAGGAACUGAUGAUAAAUACACUGGUAUUUACUCUGAGUAUAAGAGGAAAGACAACAGUCUGAUCCAAGCACUUGGACUUUUGUUAUAUUAACUGCUUCAGAACAACCAUCAGGAAAAUCUUUUCCAUCUCACGAGGGUUGGUGUUUAUUGCAUCCAGGAACAGAUCAUCAUCCUGUGGUACUUUGUUAAAUCUCAGAGGCACAUUUUUUUUAACAUGUAAAUGUUUCUAAAAUUGGAAUGCAUUUGAUAACCAAUGAAGAAGAAGAAGAAGAAGAAGAAGAAGAAGAAGAAGAAGAAGAAGAGAAAUAGUGCCAAGAAUUCCUCCUUCCUAAAAGCUAUAAUCAAUUUGAUGGUGAACCUUAAAACAGAGGGGGCUACCAUUGAUUGAGCACCUACCAUCUACUAUCUGCUAGACCCAAUGCUAUAUGCUCAGAACUUUAAUUUUUAUUUUUUCUUUUCCAUUUUAGUAUGUUUUUUC
rnacentral:lncRNA from 1 species